rnacentral:rRNA from 1 species
GACGAACGCUGGCGGCGUGCUUAACACAUGCAAGUCGAACGGAAAGGCCCUGCUUUUGUGGGGUGCUCGAGUGGCGAACGGGUGAGUAACACGUGAGUAACCUGCCCUUGACUUUGGGAUAACUUCAGGAAACUGGGGCUAAUACCGGAUAGGAGCUCCUGCUGCAUGGUGGGGGUUGGAAAGUUUCGGCGGUUGGGGAUGGACUCGCGGCUUAUCAGCUUGUUGGUGGGGUAGUGGCUUACCAAGGCUUUGACGGGUAGCCGGCCUGAGAGGGUGACCGGCGACAUUGGGACUGAGAUACGGCCCAGACUCCUACGGGAGGCAGCAGUGGGGAAUAUUGCACAAUGGGCGGAAGCCUGAUGCAGCAACGCCGCGUGCGGGAUGACGGCCUUCGGGUUGUAAACCGCUUUCGCCUGUGACGAAGCGUGAGUGACGGUAAUGGGUAAAGAAGCACCAGCUAACUACGUG